rnacentral:rRNA from 1 species
AACGAACGCUGGCGGCGUGCUUAACACAUGCAAGUCGAACGUGAAAGUCCGCAAGGAUGAGUAAAGUGGCGCACGGGUGAGUAAUAGAUAGGAACGUACCGAUUAGAGGGGGAAAUCCACGGGAAACUGUGGUUAAUCCCGCAUAAGUUCCGCAAGGCAGAAAGAGAGCUUUGAGCAAUCAAAGCCAUUGAUAGUCGAUCGUCUUAUCUCCCAUUAGGUAGUUGGUGGGGUAAAGGCCUACCAAGGCGACGAUCUGUAGCGGGUCUGAGAGGGUGAUCCGCCACACUGGGACUGAGACACGGCCCAGACUCCUACGGGAGGCAGCAGUGGGGAAUAUUGGACAAUGGGGGGAACCCUGAUCCAGCCAUGCCGCGUGUGUGAAGAAGGCCUUAUGGUUGUAAAGCACUUUAAGCGAGGAGGAGGCUCUUUUGGUUAAUACCCAAGAUGAGUGGACGUUACUCGCAGAAUAAGCACCGGCUAACUCUGUGCCAGCAGCCGCAGUAA